rnacentral:rRNA from 1 species
AGUGAACGCUGGCGGUAGGCCUAACACAUGCAAGUCGAACGGCAGCACAGUAAGAGCUUGCUCUUACGGGUGGCGAGUGGCGGACGGGUGGGGAAUACAUCGGAAUCUACUUUUUCGUGGGGGAUAACGUAGGGAAACUUACGCUAAUACCGCAUACGACCUACGGGUGAAAGCAGGGGAUCUUCGGACCUUGCGCGAUUGCAUGAGCCGAUGUCGGAUUAGCUAGUUGGCGGGGUAAAGGCCCACCAAGGCGCCGAUCCGUAGCUGGUCUGAGAGGAUGAUCAGCCACACGGGAACUGAGAAACGGUCCAAACUCCUACGGGAGGAAGCAGUGGGGAAUAUUGGACAAUGGGCGCAAUCCUGAUCCAGCCAUACCGCGUGGGUGAAGAAGGCCUUCGGGUUGUAAAGCCCUUUUGUUGGGAAAGAAAAGCAGCAGGUUAAUACCCCGCUGUUCUGACGGUACCCAAAGAAUAAGCACCGGCUAACUUCGUG